GCUUCCCCUUCCCCUCUGGUAAUCUGUUCUCCAAAUCAGUGUGCUCGUCUUUUUGUUUAUCUUCCACACAUGAGUGGAAUCAUAUGGUAAUUGUCUUGGCAAUUGUCAUUCAUUCUCCAUCUGAGAUUUUGCUUAGCAUUAUACCUACCCUCAAGGUCCAUCCAUGUUCUUGAAAAUGGCAUGGCUUUGUCUUUUUUUAUGGCUGAGAUUCUCAUUUUCUUUAUCUGUAAAAUGGGGAGAACUUCUGGGUCAAAUAAGAACCAUCAACCCCUAGAACCACGCAGACCAUCUAAGAAAUAUCAGUGCCCUUCUUCAGCCACACCUGGCCCACAGCCUGGCGUCCCAGAGCCCAGGCUAUUGGCCAAGUCCACUCCAUUACUUACGAGCUGUUUAAUUAAGAAAGUUCUUUCCUUCUCUUAGUGUCAGUUUUCUGCUAAGUCAGCUGGGAACUGUCUUUGGGGAAAACACCUUGAUAAGCGUCUGGGAGGCUCACCAGGCUCCGUGGGCUGGGUGUGAUAAGCCCCGCCUUGCAGCUGGGUGUGGCUGAAUGAUGGAGCUGGAGCCAGUGGAAUGUGUGUGGAAGCGAUGGGUGCCAUUUCCAGGCCUGACCCAGAGCACCUCCCACCCCAGCCCCGCUCCCGCUCGUCUCCUUCCUGCUUGUGGGAUGGCUUCGGGAGCCAUGUGUCGACGCACACACAUCCACUGCCAGCCUGGGCCCCAUCCCCGCCUCAGCAAGCUGGAACCUCCUAGAUCUUAUUAUGAGAGAAAAAUAAACUUCUAUGGUGUUCGCUCAUUUCAUUCUGGGUUUAAUUGUUAAAGAAGUUUAGCUUACUCAAAACAAUAAGCUUGCAGAAGGCUUUAGACUUCCAGGGACAAGAAAAUCGGGGUGGAGAGCCAGGCUAGCAGCUGCUGGGCACAUUUUAGCAGAUCUCCAGGAUGGGCAGCGCCACUGUGCGGGAGUUACACAGGUGAAGUGUUUUGUAUGCACUCGGCAAACGACAGCUGUUCUGAUUACAGUGCUCUCAUCAUGGAAGAGCUGGUCUAUCUCUAAAAUGGACUCACAUGCCCCACCUCUCACGGGGGCUGUGGAUGUUGUCAUUCGCAUGAAGAGAGAACUUAACUGGAGUUUUCUUCUCUCCGUGCUGGGGAGCAAAGUCUUCACUGAGCUGACAGGAGCUGGUGUGUGUUGCAGGAGGAGAGAUUUUGGCUCAGGAAAGAAUGUUCUCACCCUCUGGGAGGCCCUGAGCACCCUCCUUAUGAAAGAGAGUGUACAAGCCUGGUGUGUUUCUAAGUUCCUGGCCUUCCUGAUAAGUCCCGAAGGCCCACAUCAGAAAAAGAGGGUUACGGUGCCCUGAACCAGAAGCCGGGCAACAUGAGGCAGCCACAGUGGACAGAUGUCAAGGACCCGCGCCCAAGCAGAACCAUGCAGCGGCACAUUGACAGCAGUGACGAGCCAGCCGGCAGCAUCCCCGAGUUCCUGGACAAUCCAAGAGUGUGAUCCAGGCUUCCUGUCAGUGUGGGCUGAGAGGGGGUGCGGCUGGUUUGAACUGAACUUGAAGAAUGGAGCUAGGAUAAGAUUUGCUGCCAGAGGGGGUGCAAGAGUCUCUAUUUGUCACACCAGAACUUAGAAGAAGAGAGGGCUGCUGGUUCCUGGUGACACCUGGGGGAAUCAGGGGCAGGUUGUGUCCACCCACCGCAGCCAAGCACCUUGUCCCCCACCCACUUCUGCUCCAAGCUGUGACUCUCAGCAUCUCUCAACCUCUCAAGCCUCACAGGAAACUCCGAGACCUGACUCUGCAUGAGCAAAGCAGACCCAGGCAAGGAGGAGGCCACGGGGCAGGGCUCAGCCCCCAAUCAAGUGUCCUGGGGCUCUGGAGAAGCCACAGAGGUGGCAGGGAGCGGGAGGCUGUACAGAGAGAGGAAGGAAAUGAGCUGCCAGCAGUCUGUGAAGGCUCAAAAUGACUUAUGAAGGGAAGGUCUUGGCGGGGCUGGAACAGGGAGGGUGUGAACAGCAUUGCCGAGACUAGAGGUUCAGAAGGCCACCAAGACUGCUCGUCUUGCAGACAGGCCGUUUCUCCCCACAUUGGCGAUGAGGAAGAGCAAGCAAAGAUGUUAGGGGAGCCGGCCAAAGCUCUGUGCAGAGAGGCUUAGAGUGGAAA
ensembl:lncRNA